UGGUGUCUAACACAUUUAUUUUUCCCAAAGAGAGGCUACAUUUCAAAGUUAAUUAGUUUUCUCACAAGUGUCCCUCUGUUUAUGUGUCCUGCUGCACAAACGGCCAGCGGCAGGGCUCUUGUUCCCCGCUCUCGAUAUUGCCACAGCAGGGCUGCAAUAUUUAGACCUAAGGGAUGGGUUUAGGAAUGGAAGGAGAGAGAACGCCUGUGUUCUGUAAGGGCUAUGAAUGCUGACUCUUUGUCUCUGUCUGCUGCUUUUCCUGUGCGGGUGAUGAAGCUGUUUUACUUUGCUCUGUUGUUCCUGGUCUAAAUAGCUGCGAAGCUGUCGCCGCUGUGGGUGUGCAAUUUGUGUUGCUCUGUUUCUGUGGAGUUCUAGCUACGGCUCGCUUCUAGAGUGGCCAAGCGUCAAGGUACAGAUGGAUGAGUUGUGCAGGGCAACAGAGGAGAGCCCAGGGGAGCGCUGUAAGAAGGUGACAGCCCUGCGAUGCUGCGGUGCCUGCGAGGUGAUGCCGCCGUGCUCGUUGCUGCUUCCUGGUAAGGAAAGGCCUCCUCCGCUCCUGCUGCAGCGUGGUGGUGUGUCGGACACGAUUCCCUGUGUCGGGUGAGGCCUAGGGCUGCCGGCGAGGUGGAGGAUGGCCUAGAGUCUGGAGCUGCAGAAGAGGCAGAGAGGAGAGAAGGGGAAAGAAGCAUCUGAAUGGCUAAAUUGUGCCAGCAGCGCUGAGAGCAAGAGUCGUGGUGAGUCCUGGGCCACUGGGACGCCGUUGCCUCUCUUGUGCAUCCUAGGCCCUCCCUGUCUCUCCCCUGGCCCCCUCUUUUUUCCUUACCUGCUGCAAAAUUAUCUUUUUUUGUGCCCCCCCCCCCCCCGCACCUUCUUUCUCCAUCUCGCUCUGAGUGGCUCCCUGCCUCCCCGUUUUUUCAGUCCUCCCUCUCUCUGUCCUGUAGCCUGUGGCUACUUGUUCUUUCUCCACCUCUCUCUGCCUGGCUCUUGCUUCGGUUUUUUUUCAUUCCUCCUGCCCUGUCCUGUAGCCUGUCGGUGUUUUGUCUUUCUCUGGCUCUCUUGGUCUGACUCCUUGUGUUACCGAAGAACGCGGUAAAAUCGGAAACAACUCUUCAACACCAAUUUAGUAUUAAAGAGCAGGCAUUCUUUAUUCACGGUGCUGGAUGCACAGGGGGAUCGCUCCUCCUAACACGCAUACCUUACACACCUUUCCCAUACAAUUUAUAGAUCUAAAUUUUACAUACUCAUACAUAGUCAUUAUUGUCCUGUCUACUGAUCGGUACAAACUUGCUCGUUCCGUAUGUAAAUCACUGCGCAGGCUCGGUUGUCCUCUUCCGUUCUUCUCUUCUGAGUAGGUAGUGUUACUUGGGUCGGUGGUGGUCCGUGAGUCGGUGGUCGCGAUCUUCCCCCUGCCAGAAUUGCCUUUUACCUUCUUGGCUCUUAAUCUUGGCGGUCUUGGCUAGUUUCCUCAGUCCGCUACAGGAAACCGCGUUUUGUCAUCCUUUUCUGACAGAAGCACGUUGUCUGUUGUUCUGCUGACAUUAGCGAUCGCCUAGGGACUAAAAUGCAGAUCAACAGAUACACUGAUUCGUACACUCCAUGUUCCCAUAAUGUAACAACGUCUCUGGUUGAUUGGUUUCAUCACUUUGGUUACAUUUCCCCCCUUUGGAAAUUUUGAAAUAAUCGUUUUCUCAAUACUUCCCUCUUAGAUCAAUAAUAUUCCACUAUGUCAGUUUAGUGUUUGGUUCAUCUUCUCAAAAUUUUCACUUGAUUGUGGUCUCUAGGGCAUAUGCAGGUUCCAUUUUAUACCCAAAAUUUUAUUAAUUUAACUACCUCUGCAAAAAAAUGUGGUCCUCUCUCAGAGGACAUUCCUGUUGGCACUCUAAAUCUUGGUAUUAUUUCUUUCAGCAACAUUUUAACUACUACUCUAGCUUUGUUGGUGCAGCACGAGAAAGCUUCUGGCCAUCUAGAAAAUUUGUCCAUCAGCACUAACAAAUACUCCUGUACCUAUUUUGUCUGGGUAACUCAGAAAACUUAAUUUGCUAAUAAUCUCUGGGAGAAUUUUUUGUUUUGUUAUUCCUAAAGGUGGUUUCCUUUAGUUCAGGGGAUUAUUUCUAGGGCAGAUUGGACACUUAGCUACUAUGAGUUUAACUGUUCUUGUCAUGUCUACACACACUACAGAUGUUUUUAAACUCAAAACUGUAGCAUCUACACCCUAAUGUGUUUGCUCAUGCUUUUCUUUUGCAAGUUCUGUCAUAACUUGUGGGGUUGUUAUUAUUACUACUUGUUUUUCUGGUAUUACCUACCAUCUCUGUGUUUUGUGAUGCUUCCAAUUGUUCUGCUAAUUGCUCAUCCA